GGUCUGGGCAGUGCCAUGUCCAGGCUUUUUUUGACUGGAGGAACCGCUGCCUUGAAGGAAGGUCCAAUUUGCCAAUCACAGCUCCUGGUUUUGGGAGUGGCACUAGGGGUGGCCUAUUAGAGUCCAGGGGCGGACCUGGCCACCCCCCCAAGUCAGGCACCUGUCUCUGGGAGCCAUGGAAACAGUCUAAAACUGCUGUUCUGUUUGCAGAAAAUAUUGCAGGUCCUCAUUAAAUGACGAGGAGUUCUGAUUAGCAGGCAUCUGAGGACUGAAGGGCAUGUUUUGGUCUCUCUGCCAAAUUUUCUCUGAGGCAAAUGCUUUCAAGGGAAUGUGCUUAUCUCCAGUGAAUGUAAGAACUGCCCUGAUGGUUUCCCCUCCUGAGAUAAUUAGCAUAUUUUUGCAUAAUCAAUAUUUGGGGAGCUUGGAAUGUUAUUUUGCAUUAACGUCAGCAGUUUCCAGUUCCAAGGGUACUAGACUAUAUUAAUCAAACUGCAAUUUUUUUUAGAAAGUUUUUAACAUGGCCUUAACAUAAGUUUUGUGUUACACAGUAAAAUUCCUAGCGCUGAAAUCAACUCUAAAAACACCUCCGUGGGUCCAGGAGGGACUAAUAAGUACUGUUUAUUUUACACAUUGAACAUAUUUCUGUGUACAAAGGAUCACGUCAUCCCAUUUUGCAUCCCAGUCAGAGCGCAAACAGUAAAUUGCUAAUCAGAGAGCACGGCCACGUAUCAUAUUUGUCUCUGAACAGCGCAUUUCUAUGCGUGUUAUUCACUGAUCACAAAGAAUCAUGUUGAUUUUUUUAGGCCUUCUCUUCUUUUCGGUUCUGUUUAUUUUGUGACUCAUCUCUGAAUCGAUGAUGUCGUAGCAUGAGAGGGAAGAGGUGCCGCGAGCGCUGACCUGCUAAUGCACGCGGCGCAUUAGCUCUGCUGCUAACGUGGCCUGCCGAACGCCGUGGAACAGCUUGUUGCAUUUCGCGAGGCGUCAUUUCAACGGAAUACUUGCUCUCAAUUCAAAAGCUCGUCUGACCGAAGCCAGCGCCGGCAUGGUGGGUAUGUGGUCACUCAAAUUUCAGCGGUGAUAGUCGUGGUCUAACAGCCCUGUAAUGAGCGAAUGAAAUGCGCUGUUAUGCUCUCGUGCAGAGCUUUGUGGUAGAGAGAGACACUACCAGCUGAUCUAAAAGUGCCCCCCCUCCCUUUCCUUGUUGUCACUUCCCUGCCAGCUGGAACAGUUCGCUGGGGUUACCUGGCUGGUCUGGGAUUUUUGCUGAGCAGGUCCCACCCAGUUGUUUAUGCCAGUCAGGAGCGUGCGGACGAGACUCUUCUGCUCCCCGUCCUGCUCCUGGCGGUCGGACAGGCCGACCAGGGCGAAGGGUUCGCUCCUCUCCUCGGUCCGGUAGAAGGGGCAGGCCUUC